UACGUAGGUGGCAAGCGUUGUCCGGAUUUAUUGGGUUUAAAGGGUGCGUAGGCGGUCUAUUAAGUCAGCGGUGAAAUACUCCAGCUUAACUGGAGGGGUGCCAUUGAUACUGAUGGACUUGAGUCAAGUCGAGGUGGGCGGAAUUGACGGUGUAGCGGUGAAAUGCUUAGAUAUCGUCAAGAACACCAAUAGUGAAGACAGCUUACUGGGCUUAAACUGACGCUGAGGCACGAAAGUGUGGGGAUCAAACAGG
rnacentral:rRNA from 1 species